UCUCAAAGUGAGAAAAUUCUCAGCUCAAGAUUUUCUCAGAAUUUUCUGAGAAUUGUCUCAGCUGAGAAAUUUCUCAAGUUGGCUUUCACUAAACUUUUUCUCAAGUCUUGAGAUUUUUCUCAGCUGAGCCGUAAUUUUUUAAGACAUAAGCGGCCAAACAUCCAAGGAGCCGCGUGAACUUUCCCACGGACACGAGUGCAUUAUUGGGGGCAGUGGAUUUAUUCAUUUAUUGAGACUAAUGAAGCGUUGAGAAAUGUUCAUAAACAACAUGUACAGUUUCGGGAUAUAUCCAAAUUGUAUGUUUGUACAAAGGUAUGGCAGUGUAUUUUCAAUAUUAUAAUUAAUCGGCUUCAAACCUGUCACUUUUGAACCAAUCAAACACACAGUCGAGGGUACUACGUCAUAUUGCAUGUGUUUUCUUUACCAAAUAUGGGAUUAGGUAAACACAGCCAUAUGUUGUUACACUACGUGUGACAAUUUUAUGUUAUCGGGCAUAUGUUUAUGGGAAUCAGAUAUGCAGACAUAAGUCACAGCCUGCUGAUGAAGAUCCUCAGCUUAUUAUACAGAGAUCAGGGUUGAGCUGUGUGCUGAUUCAAAAGAUGCUAAUGACAGUGGAUAAUCCAUUCUGAGUUGUUCUAGGACCAUUCACCAAUGUUUCAAAACACUGAUGGAACUGAAGGCAGUACAUGUGCUGGUGUCUGGCCUGUGAUUUCAAGUAUAGACUAUAAUUGUUGUACCUCCUCCUGAUGUAUCUCCUUGAAUACAAUAUAUCUGCCAUGUGAAAGGAACAAGCUGCAAGAUAUGCUGUGGAAAUGGGGGCCUAUGUAAAAAAAACAUUUUAUUUAAAGAAUAUAAGAAAUCUGACACUAAACUACUGAAAAGGUGCACAGGGGACAUUUUGUGUGUAUAGACUUUCAUCAAGAUUCUGAGAAAGUUGAUUUAUGAAACAAAAAUAGUCAUAUUGUGUCUUCAAAGCUGAAAAGAUUAAGAUCUUAGGAAAACUUAGGACUCAAGAAAAGUAAUGGGGUUAUGAAACUGUAGUGUUCAACAUUUAAAUUGUUUUUUCUUUUUUCACUACAUUUUGUGAAGAGGGUUCCAUCACAAGAUGAGAGAAGAAAAAGCUUAAUUAUUAAAAAAAAACAAUAUAGCCGAUAGAUAUACAUUGUUGAAGGCAUUAUCUUUGUUUACAUUAAAUUUAAAUGUGGCUGCCACCUUGUUUGUUAGAAACAUAAAGACACAUUAAUUUCUUGUUUUCGAAUUUUAUUAACGGAUUUAUGUGUCAAAGACUGGCAUAUGGGUGAAAAUGUUACUGAAAAUAUUAAAUCAGUUUUUAUUGAUUAACUCCCUUUUUGGCUUGUGCAGUAUAAAGUCAUGUGCAUCAUUGAAAGUAUAUGUAGUACUUUUCUAACCAACUGAUAAACAUUCUAUUUUUGGAAAGUUUGUUGCAUAAAGUUAAAGGAGUUUUUUUUUGUAUGAAGUUUACAUGGUGUAGGCCUUUAAGCUGUUUACUUUAAAAACCACCUUGUAUUUUUGAUAAUUUCUUAUGUAAUUAAGUCAUUUCAAAUGUUUUCUCUUUUAAGUGACCCUGAGUGGCAGUACUUGUUGACUACAAAACCAUCUACUAUAAUUAUUGGUUAACUAAUUAUUGGAAUAGUGAGUAUUUUAACAUUGUUUCAUCACAAUGCACUCCUUUAUGGGAAUAGGGAGGCAAUAGCACAUUUAACUAUUAAACUAAUUAUUAAACUAUGUCAUUUGAAUGAAAACAGCCUUAGACACACCUGAAAAUCAGAUAAAUUUAAAAAUACAUGCAAAGUUUUAAAAAUGUUUUUUGGAUUUAAGUUAUAACAUUUUCUUAUUUUUAUCUUCAGUUGGUUAUAAAUGCAACUGAUUGUUUUUAUCAACAUCUGUUGUCAGGUGUGUUUCGUCCCAAUUUAAUUUUGUGACCCAUACAGUGUUUCCAGGACUCAUCAGUAAGAGAAACACCAUCAACUUGAGUCAACAACAUAACUUUUAACAUGUGAACAGAAGUUAAUUAUAAACAUUUUCAAAGGAACAUAGUGAACUGGAACAGUAAAUGAAAAUUAUAAAAGAAAUGAAAACCUGUACACUUUGGCAUUUCAUAGUUCUUUUUAAAAAAUCAAAUUUAUCUGAGAAGACAAUGACAGUGAAAUAUAAAAUUUUACUUAAAAUUAUUGUUGUAAAUCAUACUGAAAUCUAACAAGUUACUGGUAAUAUAAAUUUAAUCAAUAGCAUAGAGUUAAGAUUUUCUGAUAUUUUUGGAAAGAUUUGAAAAACAUUGUACUUUAAAUGUUCAACCAAUAUUUUAGAUCAAAUUAUGAAAUGCCAUAUCUAUUUAUAAAUGAAUAAACUGUUGUCAACUUAUAAAAAUUUCUGUUAACUUUAAUAGAUUAUUAGAA